rnacentral:tRNA from 1 species
UGGGCGUACGUAGAAUUGAACUACGGACCUCUACCGUGUCAAGGUAGCGCUCUUCCACUGAGCUACACGCCC